CCUACGGGAGGCAGCAGUGAGGAAUAUUGGUCAAUGGCCGGAAGGCUGAACCAGCCAAGCCGCGUGAAGGACGAAGGUGCCAAGCAUUGUAAACUUCUUUUGUCAAGGGACAAAAUUAGGCUCGAGAGCCUGAUCGAGGGUACUUGAAGAAUAAGCAUCGGCUAACUCCGUGCCAGCAGCCGCGGUAAUACGGAGGAUGCGAGCGUUAUCCGGAUUUAUUGGGUUUAAAGGGUGCGUAGGCGGACUGUUAAGUCAGCGGUAAAAGCCCGGGGCUAAACCCCGGCGAGCCGUUGAAACUGGAUGUCUUGAGAAGUCGAGAGGUAUGCGGAAUGCGCGGUGUAGCGGUGAAAUGCUUAGA
rnacentral:rRNA from 1 species